GUUUCUGCAGAUGGUCUCAACAAAAAAUAUAGUUCUUAAAGAAGAAGCCAGACAACUUAUAUGCAGUUAUUUUGUGGCCUGUCGCAGAGUACGACCUGACUGUCUUCCUGUUGGUGCAAUAGAAACAAUCACAGCACUGUCUGAAGGGCACGCAAGAUUGUCGAUGAAAAGUGAAGUAUGCUAUGAAGAUGUUUUGCCUGUUCUAAGACUCUAUGAGGAAUCGCUGUAUGCAAUUUUUGGGAACUCUUUUGUAUCUCCUCCACCAAUUGCAAGGCAAAGUGGACUUACUUCAAUGAAAUCUUUAAUUAUGCAGACAAAGACCGAGAUGGAACAUUUUUCAGCCUGGAUAAUUAACUACAUCAAAUCUGUAAUUGGAGUACAUCCCUUUCAGUAUUGCAAUGCUGAAGAAUAAUACAGCUUACCAAAUUUGUAAUUUAUUGUCUUGUCACAAACUACUAUCAGUUACAUGGUAGACAGGCACAAUUUCUUACUGAAUUAACAAAUGGUUCAAAUAUGUUCUAUUCUGCCAAAUCAUGCCUCAGCUGUCAGUUUUUAAAGAAAGGCAGUAAUUUCGGUCACAAGAAUGUUACUGCUAUCACUUAAAUUAGUAUCAUAUGUGAAAUGAUAUAUUUUGUAAGCUUCAAGCACUAAUGGGAAUCAGGGGCUAGAAAUUUGUUCAAGUAACCAAAUCAAACAAACACUUUUUACACAUACCUGUUAGGACAAAUUUCCAGAAAAGUGAGUGUGGUUAUUAUUUUGAUAUCAAAAGACGCAACAGAUCUUUUUAAAAUAUCAUUUGAGGUUAUCUUCCACUUCAAAAUUUAUCUACAAAAAUAUUUUUAAUGUACAACAAUACUAAAUAAAUCUGUACAUCAGUGUGACUAAGCAACAACAGGAUCCACACAUCAAAUAAGUGUGAAAGUUAAAUAUUAUUGUAAUACCUAUAAUGUCUGCAGUGAAUAAAAUUUGUCACUUGGGUUCAGCAUCCAUUUUAGUCUAUAGGCUCACAUCUGUAUUCUUAAGAAUGCUAACAGUAAGUUUUAGGAACAGUUUUAAUAUUGAGCACAGAGAAUAUGUUAUAUAUUAUAUUGUCAUCAUGCAGAAUCAGUUGGAAAAAUAGCACAUACGUUGGUUCCCAAAGAAAUAUUAAACACAAAGCAAACAUAACAGGUAACUGCUAAUGUGUUUUCAGCUUUAUUACAGAUGACUGUUAAGCAACAAGCAAUUGGGAUGGGCAAUUGAGAGUAAUAAGUAUGUUAGAAUUUUUAUUUUAUUUCCUUGUAAAAUAUUUGGUUGUAUACCACUUUUUUAAACAUCUAGGUACAGAUUACAAUACAUGAAACUUCUAAAUAAAUUGAGCAGAAAAAAAUGAAAUAUUUUAAUAAACAGUUUUUAAAUCUCCUCCUGUCAGUUUACAUGAGAACACAGAAAAAGAUGACUAGAUCUGAUGAGACCAUGAAGUACCCUUGUAUAAGAAACUAAUGUUAAUUAGUUUCAUGAACUGAUACAUUGGUAUAGUAUUCAGAAAACAAAAUGUACUAUUAUUUUAUUAUUGCUAAGAUUGAGAUUCAAAUAUUAAAUAAAUGACACCUGGAAACAAUGCAGUUACAGGUGUGGAGGAAGUUCUCUCUCAGCACUGUGCUAUAAAAUAAACAAACUUCCACUUCGGCAGAUUUCUUUGUAAUUAUGUAAUACUCUUUGGAACUUUAACACUAUGUACGCAAUAAAAAUGAGGGAUACAGGAAACCAUUUAUACUUUCAGAUAACAUCAUUUUGCGUAGAAUGUGAUAAUAGAUAUACAAUAUUUCUGUUUGUUCUCACGUAAUUUGUGCAGGAUUCAGUUUCUGAAUUGUGCCUCAUUCUAAAACUAAUGAAAUCACCUAAUUUUGAACUAAAACAAA